CGGGGGAAAGCAGGGGACCUUCGGGCCUUGCGCGAUUGGAUGAACCCAGGUGGGAUUAGCUAGUUGGUGAGGUAAUGGCUCACCAAGGCGACGAUCCCUAGCUGGUCUGAGAGGAUGAUCAGCCACACUGGAACUGAGACACGGUCCAGACUCCUACGGGAGGCAGCAGUGGGGAAUAUUGCACAAUGGGGGAAACCCUGAUGCAGCCAUGCCGCGUGUGUGAAGAAGGCCUUCGGGUUGUAAAGCACUUUCAGCGAGGAGGAAAGGUUGGUAGCUAAUAACUGCCAGC
rnacentral:rRNA from 1 species